GCCUCGGUAUUAUAACAGAUCAACACGGCAGAUCGGAUAUCUGUAAGUUCGGGUUCGAAUCCCGCCUGAGGUU
rfam:Dictyocaulus viviparus strain HannoverDv2000 D_viviparus-1.0_Cont324.13, whole genome shotgun sequence.